GAUUGAGUGUUGCUGUGAGACGCGCUAUGCUGUGAUCUUUGUUUGGAUUCAUCAGAUAUAUUUUUGCUGCUAAAAUAGACCAAAGCAGUCAAUAUUUCGUCUAAAAUCCUGGUAGAGAGACAACAACCUGACUCCGAACAUGAACAAAAUAAAAGAGAUGGUUGUUGACUUCAGGAGAGCACAGAGCUACAAUUCUCCGCUGAACAUUGACGGAUCCUCUGUAGAGAUCUUCAAGAGCACAAAUUCCUUGGAGGAGAAUGUCAUCCGGUCCCUUAACAACAACUCCAUCACCAGAAAAUCUCAGCAGGGCCUCUAGUUUCUGCCAAAGCUGAGGAAAAUAGCUCUGCAUUUUCUGUAGCACUAUUGUCCUGCAGUAACGUUGUUUCAUUUCACAUUUCAUUUAGAAAAUGACAAUAAAAUCUUCUUGGCUUGACUUGA